rnacentral:rRNA from 1 species
CGGAAGAUGUAACGGGGCUCAAAUCUAUAACCGAAGCUGCGGAUGCUAGUUUACUAGCAUGGUAGGGGAGCGUUCUGUAGGCCGAUGAAGGUGCAUUGUAAAGUGUGCUGGAGGUAUCAGAAGUGCGAAUGUUGACAUGAGUAGCGAUAAAGCGGGUGAAAAGCCCGCUCGCCGAAAGCCCAAGGUUUCCUGCGCAACGUUCAUCGGCGUAGGGUGAGUCGGCCCCUAAGGCGAGGCAGAAAUGCGUAGUCGAUGGGAAACAGGUUAAUAUUCCUGUACUUGAUUCAAAUGCGAUGUGGGGACGGAGAAGGUUAGGUUGGCAAGCUGUUGGAAUAGCUUGUUUAAGCCGGUAGGUGGAAGACUUAGGCAAAUCCGGGUCUUCUUAACACCGAGAAGUGACGACGAGUGUCUACGGACACGAAGCAACCGAUACCACGCUUCCAGGAAAAGCCACUAAGCUUCAGUUUGAAUCGAACCGUACCGCAAACCGACACAGGUGGGCAGGAUGAGAAUUCUAAGGCGCUUGAGAGAACUCAGGAGAAGGAACUCGGCAAAUUGAUACCGUAACUUCGGGAGAAGGUAUGCCCUCUAAGGUUAAGGACUUGCUCCGUAAGCAUCUGAGGGUCGCAGAGAAUAGGUGGCUGCGACUGUUUAUUAAAAACACAGCACUCUGCUAACACGAAAGUGGACGUAUAGGGUGUGACGCCUGCCCGGUGCUGGAAGGUUAAUUGAAGAUGUGAGAGCAUCGGAUCGAAGCCCCAGUAAACGGCGGCCGUAACUAUAACGGUCCUAAGGUAGCGAAAUUCCUUGUCGGGUAAGUUCCGACCCGCACGAAUGGCGUAACGAUGGCCACACUGUCUCCUCCUGAGACUCAGCGAAGUUGAAGUGGUUGUGAAGAUGCAAUCUACCCGCUGCUAGACGGAAAGACCCCGUGAACCUUUACUGUAGCUUUGCAUUGGACUUUGAAGUCACUUGUGUAGGAUAGGUGGGAGGCUUAGAAGCAGAGACGCCAGUCUCUGCGGAGCCGUCCUUGAAAUACCACCCUGGUGUCUUUGAGGUUCUAACCCAGACCCGUCAUCCGGGUCGGGGACCGUGCAUGGUAGGCAGUUUGACUGGGGCGGUCUCCUCCCAAAGCGUAACGGAGGAGUUCGAAGGUUACCUAGGUCCGGUCGGAAAUCGGACUGAUAGUGCAAUGGCAAAAGGUAGCUUAACUGCGAGACCGACAAGUCGAGCAGGUGCGAAAGCAGGACAUAGUGAUCCGGUGGUUCUGUAUGGAAGGGCCAUCGCUCAACGGAUAAAAGGUACUCCGGGGAUAACAGGCUGAUUCCGCCCAAGAGUUCAUAUCGACGGCGGAGUUUGGCACCUCGAUGUCGGCUCAUCACAUCCUGGGGCUGUAGUCGGUCCCAAGGGUAUGGCUGUUCGCCAUUUAAAGUGGUACGUGAGCUGGGUUUAAAACGUCGUGAGACAGUUUGGUCCCUAUCUGCAGUGGGCGUUGGAAGUUUGACGGGGGCUGCUCCUAGUACGAGAGGACCGGAGUGGACGAACCUCUGGUGUACCGGUUGUAACGCCAGUUGCAUAGCCGGGUAGCUAAGUUCGGAAGAGAUAAGCGCUGAAAGCAUCUAAGCGCGAAACUCGCCUGAAGAUGAGACUUCCCUUGCGGUUUAACCGCACUAAAGAGUCGUUCGAGACCAGGACGUUGA